rnacentral:lncRNA from 1 species
CUCGCGUAUACCUCGGACAAAAGUCAAGAUCCUCUAGUGUGCUCCAAAAGGUCUAAAGCAUCUACUGCUUGUAUCUAUGGAAGGCAUUUAUUCUGACUGAGCCACGACGUCACAUCACCAAGAUUCUCCCCAACAAGCCCCUAGACUCUACUAUGUAGGUACUCCACGACAUCGAAAUUCAUCGUCUAGCCUGAGCAAGACUCAUCUUGGAGAGCCAAAUCUCAAGUAGGACAUAAAUAUCAGGAUCAUGUUGUUAGAUCAAUCGGUUAAAGAUUUAUCAGAAUGAAGACUUCCCCAUCCCUCGAGUGUUCUGGAUCAGAAGCCUCAUAGAGAUGACUCAUGAGAAAAGGAGCCCACACCAGUGCUCCCCUCAACUUGAAAAAUUGCCUCAGUCCCAACUAUCAUCGAGUCCAUCAUUGACAGGAUCACCUCCUCCCCCUGGAUGGCCUGUCUUAGUCUGGUAACAGCAUCCUUAUGGACAAUAUCUUGGCCCCCCACCGAUGCAUUCAUCUGCACCGAGUCCUCUCCCUUGAGAGGCAUAGGGUCACUCUCCAUCCCACACUCCAUUCUCUAGUGCCUGCCUGCAUGCAGGCCUUUGAGGAGGCUCGAGCUUUGCCUUUGGCCUUCUUCUUCUUCUUUGUAGAGCCUUUUAUGGGCCCCUCAAAUCCCAAAUCCCAAAUCCUGACAAUUGGGUUUGAAAGAUGCCCGACCUGCAUCAAAAUCAAAGAGCCAGGCGUGCUUGGGCUUGGCUGAGCCUAGCCCUAAUGAAGCCCUCGGCCUGCCUUCAGAAAGGCUCCCACCUGCACCUCGGCCUACCGCCAGCCCAUUCUCAAGUUCAGCUAGUGGGCUAAAGUGAUUUACAGGCCCACCCACGAAGCACCCUACACCGAUCUCUACAUCCCCAACAUCAGAUGCAAUCAUUGAUUCAGGCUUGGGUCUGAUGGGAGAUUUGCGUCGUCCGAUCUUGGCUGGCUUGAUCCAACUAGGGGUAAGCAAAAAUCGAAUAUGAACCAAUCAAACCAGUGAAACCAAACAAAACCGCAGGUUUGGUUUGGUUUAAAAUUUUAUUCAGUUUGAUUUGAUUGAUUUUUAACAUAUAAAAAAUAAGAUUGGAUUGGUUCAGAUUUGUCAGUAAAUAAAAUCGUCCUCAAACCAAAUGGAUCAAUUUUAAUAAAAUAACAU